AUUUAGGCUUCCCUUCUAUCUCCAUCACACCUACACACAUAUCCGUGUACCUAUUUGCCAAUUUAAAAAUUUAAUCUCUUGAUUAUUGCCACUUGCACUGCAUUUGCAUGUGGCUAUAUAUUGUUCUUAGUUAAGAAGGAUGAUAGGUACAUAUAUUUUAAGUGUGUCUAUAUAGAUGCUCUGAAUAGGGAAAUCAUGGAGGAAGUGAACACUGAGCAAUGCCAAGAAAAGGCACCUGGAGAGAUGUAUGGAGAUGUAGACAGGAGCUCAGCAUGUCAGGCAUCUUCAGGAAUGGGGCUUGUUUCAUUUGCUGUUUUCUUCCUUGACCCUUUACAUCAUUCCUAUUAGGAUCACAGAAAUAUUUCAUUUUUUUCUUUAAAAAUAGCUCCUCCUUCAUUUGUUGAAUGGCCAGAAAGUUUAACAAGGCCUCGAGCUGGCACUGCUCGAUUUGUGUGUCAGGCAGAAGGAAUCCCCUCUCCCAAGAUGUCAUGGUUGAAAAAUGGAAGGAAGAUACAUUCGAAUGGUAGAAUUAAAAUGUACAACAGUAAAUUGGUAAUUAACCAGAUUAUUCCUGAAG
rnacentral:sRNA from 1 species